AUUGAACGCUGGCGGCAUGCCUUACACAUGCAAGUCGAACGGUAACAGGCCGCAAGGUGCUGACGAGUGGCGAACGGGUGAGUAAUGCAUCGGAACGUGCCCAGUAGUGGGGGAUAGCCCGGCGAAAGCCGGAUUAAUACCGCAUACGACCUACGGGUGAAAGCGGGGGACCGUAAGGCCUCGCGCUAUUGGAGCGGCCGAUGUCAGAUUAGGUAGUUGGUGGGGUAAAGGCCUACCAAGCCUGCGAUCUGUAGCUGGUCUGAGAGGACGACCAGCCACACUGGGACUGAGACACGGCCCAGACUCCUACGGGAGGCAGCAGUGGGGAAUUUUGGACAAUGGGCGCAAGCCUGAUCCAGCCAUGCCGCGUGCGGGAAGAAGGCCUUCGGGUUGUAAACCGCUUUUGUCAGGGAAGAAAUCUUCUGGGUUAAUACCUCGGGAGGAUGACGGUACCUGAAGAAUAAGCACCGGCUAACUACGUGCCAGCCGCCGCAGUAAGAC
rnacentral:rRNA from 1 species